rnacentral:lncRNA from 1 species
CACUCAGGCCAUAGAUUAAUCACAGAGGCAUGGGAACGUACACAUCUGGGUGUGUGAACAUAGGCACAUUUGCAAGUGUUUAGGGAAGUCACAUCUGUACACCAUCAGGAGUCAGUGCCUCACUUUGAAACCACUUCAGAAAUCCAUGAGUCUCUCUCACAAGGGUGGAGGACAAGCUGGGACCCCAGGGAAUGUGAUAUGGAAAAAUCUCAGCCUUCAUUUUGCUAUCAAUCACGAAUUGCCAUACUUCAGAAAGAAACUUAAGACUCAAAGAGAUCCUGCAGGUCUUUCUUCAAUUUCCUGGAUGAAAUUGAACAAAAACAAGUUCCAGAGAGGACUCCAGUAACAUCUCCAACUUCCAGAUUGGAUUCAGUAACUGAUGACAUCUUAUUAGGUGUGAGAAUACUGUGUUUUUCCAUUCAUCAUUAUAAAUAAAGCAAUAUUUUUUACUUUCCA